rnacentral:rRNA from 1 species
UCCUACGGGGCGCAGCAGUGGGGAAUAUUGCACAAUGGGGGAAACCCUGAUGCAGCGACGCCGCGUGAGUGAGGAAGUAUUUCGGUAUGUAAAGCUCUAUCCGCAGGGAAGAAAAUGACGGUACCUGACUAAGAAGCCCCGGCUAACUACGUGCCAGCAGCCGCGGUAAUACGUAGGGGGCAAGCGUUAUCCGGAUUUACUGGGUGUAAAGGGAGCGUAGACGGCAGGGCAAGUCUGGAGUGAAAGCCCGGGGCCCAACCCCGGGACUGCUUUGGAAACUGCCAUGCUAGAGUGCUGGAGAGGUG